UACGGGGGGGGCAAGCGUUGUUCGGAAUUACUGGGCGUAAAGGGCUCGUAGGCGGCCAACUAAGUCCGACGUGAAAUCCCCAGGCUUAACCUGGGAACUGCGUCGGAUACUGGAUGGCUUGAAUUCGGGAGAGGGAUGCAGAAUUCCAGGUGUAGCGGUGAAAUGCGUAGAUAUCUGGAGGAAUACCGGUGGCGAAGGCGGCAUCCUGGACCGACAUUGACGCUGAGGCGCGAAAGCGUGGGGAGCAAACAGG
rnacentral:rRNA from 1 species